GCUGGGUGCUGUGGCGGGCACCUGUGGUCCCGGCUGUUUAGGAGGCUGAGGCAGAAGACUCGCUUGAGCCCAGGAGUUGGAGGUUGCUGUGAGCUGUGAUGCCACAGCACUCUACCCAGGGGGAUAGCUUGAGGCUCUGUAUCCAAAAAAAAUAAAAAUUAAAAAAUAAAUAAAUAAAUAAUUCUUUCAUAUACAUGAUGAUAUUUCUUUUUUUUUUUUUUUUUUUUUUUUUUUGAGACAGAGCCUCAAGCUGUCCCCCUGGGCAGAGUGCCCUGGCAUUACAGCUCACAGCAACCUCCAACUCCUGGGCUCAAGCGAGUCUCCUGCCUCCG
rfam:Otolemur garnettii contig115828, whole genome shotgun sequence.